UCUUAGGGUUCACUUUCUUUCUUGUGUUCUUCCUUACUGCUUAGAAUCACCUGAGGCUAGAGAGCUGUUCCAUUGUUCUAUGAUGACAUGGAAUUCUAAAGUGACUAGGCAUUCUCACAUUAGGUUGCUUGAGUCAGAGUGCUUCAGACCAGGCAGAACUCCAUCUAAGUGACAAUAUGGAUAUUAUGGAUAUUUUCUACUUAACGUAAGAUUUGGGGUUUCUGUUUCUCUACCACAGAAAUAAAAGUAUUUUCAUCAAUAUGGAAACACUCAGAGACAUAAAUCAGGUGAGAUGCAGUAUACUUCUCAAAGAGAACCAUGCAGAACACAGAGGAAGACAAAUCUUAAGACAGGGUCUCACUACGUAGUCUUGGUUGAACUAUAAUUCAUAUUCACCUGUCUAGGCAUCCUGUGGUCAAAGAUUAGAUGGUCCCUGGCUUGAUGGCUUCAAUGAAGUGCAAAAGGAUCCCGCACUAAUGUGCUGAUGUCUGUGGGACAACUGUAGGGUGCCGCAGGAGAAACAGGGAGAGAGAGAGAGAAGCUGGAGUAGAGUGAGCAGAAGUGAAUAAAGGGGAGAAAUCUGUCAGCAAGAUGAAAAUGAGCAAAUUUUCUCAUCCUCAACUAACCUCUCAAGCACAAACUGACCUAGAUCUUGUUUGCUGAGGAUCCAUACCAUACUGGAGCACACUGCAGAGGGGUUUUGGCCUCCUUUGGUGAGAACUGGGGUGACCUUCAAGACUCCAGUCAUUUAACAGUUCCACAGUCACCAAUAACGGCUGGCUGAACAGUGUGAGGGAUUCAAGCUCUGUCUUACUCCUUUGGCCUGCCUGGCCUACAUUAUGACUUCCCUGACCUAAAAUGACUGACCCUACUCCAGACAUCUGGCCUGCAUUCCAGAGAAUAGGAGGAUCAUGCCUUCCCUGUGAUACGCUGUUAUCUUGUUGGGAUACAGCUCCUACCUAGAUGCUAAUUCUUCAUCCUCACAACCAGCUGGAGCACGACCUCCUCCUCUCAAUGCCAUGAGGCACAGAGAACAGAACAUUCCAUUAGCACUUUCUACUGAGGCUGACCUUUAGCCUGCUCCUUGAAGGCAACGUAUGUGUGUAAUUCACUGACUGCAGGACCUCCACCAAAGGCACUGCUAAUAACUAUGGGCUUGAAAUUAGAGCAUAGCAGUAGAGCACUUGCCUAGCAUGGGUCAAAUGGGCCAAGCUCUGGGAUCAACUCUCAGCACUGAGGAGUAAAGACGGUGGGUGGAGGCAUUCUGUCAGGUAAGAAAAUUUUGAUCUUGUCCCUGUUCUGUCUAGUUUGUGGCAUUACUCUGACAACUAACUCUCAGACUGUAUCUUAAGGAAGUUUUGAGGUCAGGGAAUAUGCUUUCAGAGUUAGAACCUGACUUCAGAAUCAUAUUUUAUCUUAGCACCCUCAGUUGCCAAUCACACAUCCAGGGUUGGCUCUGCGAGAUCUACGGAAUGUUUAUUAAAAUUGAGGACUGUGGUGCCAGCUCCCACAUAUAGGGUCACUCUUUCCCUCAGAGAACCUCAGUUUCCCCUCCUGUGAAACCAUACCAACCUACCUCUGUGAACUUGUCGGCCACCAUGUAGCGGACACGCCAGGACUUAUCUUCAGCAGCCUGACGUAAGGUGGGCAUCACUAAGGCCUCCAGAUCCUCCUGGGGUAGAAGCUGGGCAAUGUUCACACAUGCCUCCACUGCCAGCAGCCGCACCGAGUCCUGGAAAGAAUGGGGUGGCUUAGAGUAGCAGAGGCCUACUGGGCUGAGGGUCCCUUGCCUCGGCAAGCAAGGGCAUGGUGAGAGCUGGGGACUGACUCACCUGCUCGUCAGAGGCCAGGUUAGAGAACAUGGGAAUGAUCUCACUCUUGACAUUGUCCAGUUCCAGGACUUUGGCGAACUCCCCCAGCUUGGAGGCUGCGGCCCGCCGCACCAUGGGGGUGUCGUCUGAGCACAGGUUCCGGAAGUACCUGGGAUAGGAAGAAGCCUGGCCUUAAGAUCUUGGGAAGCCCUAGCAGCUGGCAGCCCAGCAUUAACACAGAGCACUGCUGGUUAUGCAGUAGACUCUGCUGCUAACAAUGGUGACUUUGUACAACUCAUGAACUCUGUCUUCCCAGUCCUACCAACAGAACCCAAGGCAAUGGCACAUCCCCACACAGCUAACUUGAGGUCUCAGUGAAAGAGCACAACACAGUACUCUUUAUGUGGCCAUGGCCAUAAAACUGUUUAAAAUGCCACUGACAGGUCUUCCUUGUCAAAAGCCUCAGUCAGAGACACACAGGGAGUAAUGGAGACAUCCCGGUAUGUGCAUAUGGCUGUAGGCCAGUACUCUGGAGUGACAGAUCAGGACCUGGGUUUCAUAGAGCUGAGCAACAAGGCACUCAGUAACUUCCAGGAAUGUCUACUCAGGGGUCUAGACUGAAGGUAACACCAGACACCAUUUGUUGUGUGGAAUUCUAGACUCUGUUCCAAGCAGGCCAUGUGUAAUCACCAGCAGGAAUGAAUUUCCAAGAAGGCAGGUCAGGCAAAUUCACCCCUGUGGUAUCCGGAGGCCACUGUCAAGGACAAGCCUCCCUGAAGAGAACUGAGGAGGGAGCAGGGAGAACUCUGCAACAUUGGGUUCUGGGAAGACCUAGAGGGGCUGAGACUUUGAGAAACGCUAAGGAAAGUGAUGGAGUGUAAGGACUCACUGUCGAAGUUCUGCCUUCACAGCACUGGAUACUCGGGGGUAGCAGACGGAGAAGAGGCCGCAGGCCGAGGUGCGGGAGGUGAACCAGUCUCCACCCGCCAGCCGCUUCAC